UACGGAGGGUGCAAGCGUUAUCCGGAUUCACUGGGUUAAAGGGUGCGUAGGCGGGUUGGUAAGUCCGUGGUGAAAUCUCCGAGCUUAACUCGGAAACUGCCGUGGAUACUAUCAAUCUUGAAUAUCGUGGAGGUAAGCGGAAUAUGUCAUGUAGCGGUGAAAUGCUUAGAUAUGACAUAGAACACCAAUUGCGUAGGCAGCUUACUACGACGAUCAUUGACGCUGAGGCACGAAAGCGUGGGGAGCAAACAGG
rnacentral:rRNA from 1 species